rnacentral:rRNA from 1 species
GGGAGGCAGCAGUGGGGAAUUUUGGACAAUGGGCGAAAGCCUGAUCCAGCCAUACCGCGUGAGUGAAGAAGGCCUUCGGGUUGUAAAGCUCUUUCAGCCGGAAAGAAAUUGCUUCUAUUAAUACUAGGAGUAGAUGACGGUACCGGAAGAAGAAGCACCGGCUAACUACGUGCCAGCAGCCGCGGUAAUACGUAGGGUGCGAGCGUUAAUCGGAAUUACUGGGCGUAAAGCGUGCGCAGGCGGUUUUUUAAGCCAGAUGUGAAAUCCCCGGGCUCAACCUGGGAACUGCAUUUGGAACUGGAAGACUAGAGUGUAGCAGAGGGGGGUAGAAUUCCACGUGUAGCAGUGAAAUGCGUAGAUAUGUGGAGGAAUACCAAUGGCGAAGGCAGCCCCCUGGGUUAACACUGACGCUCAUGCACGAAAGCGUGGGGAGCAAACAGGAUUAGAUACCCUGGUAGUCCACGCCCUAAACGAUGUCAACUAGGUGUUGGGGGAGGAGACUUCCUUAGUACCGU